AGUGAGACUCUCACUCCCCAAGAAUUGAGCGGACUGGCCACUCCUGGACAUAGAAAUGACAUAUAUGCCCCUAGGUUAAAAGAUCCAUAUUCUCUCUGUGAGAACCGAGCUUCACCAUUCUCAUCUUCGCCGACCUCUCAUCUUCGACCACGAUCAUUCUCUGGAAACCACACGGUUCCGAUCGGAGGAGAGAAUGGAAAGCUCGACGGAGAAGGAUUGUAGGAUUAUCAAGUGUUGAAUCCAUGGUUUGAGAAGUUGUGGAAGCAGUUUGGGAUUGCAUAGGUUUUGUGAAGUCAAUUGAUUCAAGAGAAUCCUUGUUCGUCUGUGACAAUCAUCAACACUCUCUGAAUGAGGCUUCCCAGAGGAUUAAGCGC